CUGCUGCCUCCCGUAGGAGUCUGGUCCGUGUCUCAGUACCAGUGUGGGGGACCUUCCUCUCAGAACCCCUACGCAUCGUGGUUAGGUGGGCCGUUACCCCGCCUACUGCCUAAUGCGCCGCAUGCCCAUCCCUGUCCGGCCGAAGCCUUUCCUGCCUCCGGGAUGCCCCGGUGGCAUGUACGCGGGUUUAGCCCGCCUUUCGGCGGGUUGUCCCCCUGACAGGGGCAGGUUGCAUACGUGUUACUCACCCGUGCGCCGGUCGCCGGCGGAGAAAG
rnacentral:rRNA from 1 species